GGUCAGCGUCUUAUAACAUAGAUUUGUCAGAUUUUAAAAAAGGAACUUGUUUAAUGUUUAUUUUUUUCCCCAAGAACAAUAUAACAACACUAUUCAGUACUGAUAGUCCAAACAGAGGGCAGGAAUAAUUUAAAAAGAGCAGUACCGUGGGCCGACAUGAGACAGACUCAUCAGUUUUUCCACGAGCAAGGAAAAGACAAAUCUGCCCUAGGAAAUUCCAAAAAAAGAUGAGUCAGUACCUCCGCUCAGCGUCGGUCAACCCAGCAACAGAUCACCGGCUGGCCACGGAGAUGAAUGUCCGCAAGGAGACGGCAGGACCCCGGCUGCCUCCCCGGGGCGCAUUCGGAGCCCCUGAAAGCGUCUGCACUCGGGGCAAAUGCGAAUGUGGCUGCAGCCUCUGGCCACCAGUGCGGCCUCCUGAGCCAGUCUGUGGGAAAG